GACGAACGCUGGCGGCGUGCCUAAUACAUGCAAGUCGAACGCAGUGGGGACGGGUGAGUAACACGUGGGUAACCUCCCAUCAGAGGGGAUAACACUUGGAAACAGGUGCUAAACCGAUACUGAUGGAUGGGCCCGCGGGGCAUUAGCUAGUUGGUGAGGUAACGGCCCAACAAGGCCCCGAUGCAUAGCCGACCUGCGAGGGUGAGCGGCUAAACUGGGACGUAGACACGGCGCAGCCGCCUACGGGAGGCAGCAGGAGGGAAUCUUCGGAAAUGGACGAAAGUCUGAACGAGCAACGCAGCGUGAGUGAAGAAGGUUUGCGGAUCGUAAAACUGUGUUGUUAGAGAAGCGGUAUCUAACCAGAAAGCGACGGCUAACUACGUGCCAGCAGCCGCGGUAAUAC
rnacentral:rRNA from 1 species